UGGGAAUUUUGGACAAUGGGCGCAAGCCUGAUCCAGCCAUGCCGCGUGCGGGAAGAAGGCCUUCGGGUUGUAAACCGCUUUUGNCAGGGAAGAAAUCUUCUGAGUUAAUACCUCGGGAGGAUGACGGUACCUGAAGAAUAAGCACCGGCUAACUACGUGCCAGCAGCCGCGGUAAUACGUAGGGUGCAAGCGUUAAUCGGAAUUACUGGGCGUAAAGCGUGCGCAGGCGGUUUUGUAAGACAGAGGUGAAAUCCCCGGGCUCAACCUGGGAACUGCCUUUGUGACUGCAAGGCUUGAGUGCGGCAGAGGGGGAUGGAAUUCCGCGUGUAGCAGUGAAAUGCGUAGAUAUGCGGAGGAACACCGAUGGCGAAGGCAAUCCCCUGGGCCUGCACUGACGCUCAUGCACGAAAGCGUGGGGAGCAAAACAGAUUAGAUACCCUGGUAGUCCACGCCCUAAAACGAUGUCAACUGGUUGUUGGG
rnacentral:rRNA from 1 species